GUGCCAGCAGCUGCGGUAAUACGUAGGGUGCAAGCGUUGUCCGGAAUUAUUGGGCGUAAAGAGCUCGUAGGCGGUUUGUCGCGUCUGCUGUGAAAUCCCGAGGCUCAACCUCGGGCUUGCAGUGGGUACGGGCAGACUAGAGUGCGGUAGGGGAGAUUGGAAUUCCUGGUGUAGCGGUGGAAUGCGCAGAUAUCAGGAGGAACACCGAUGGCGAAGGCAGAUCUCUGGGCCGUAACUGACGCUGAGGAGCGAAAGCGUGGGGAGCGAACAGGAUUAGAUACCCUGGUAGUCCACGCCGUAAACGUUGGGCGCUAGAUGUAGGACCUUUCACGGUUUCUGUGUCGUAGCUAACGCAUUAAGCGCCCCGCCUGGGGAGUACGGCCGCAAGGCUAAAACUCAAAGGAAUUGACGGGGCCCGCACAAGCGGCGGAGCAUGCGGAUUAAUUCGAUGCAACGCGAAGAACCUUACCAAGGCUUGACAUACACCGGAACGGCCAGA
rnacentral:rRNA from 1 species